UGCCCUUCCGCGCGCUCAGUCUCGGGUGCCCUCCUCAGCCCCCUUACAGACGGUCCUGAGGAAGGUAGACUGGGAGGCGCUCUUUCGGCCCCCCUGCCGGGGACAAACCUUCCCUUCGUACGCUUGUAUAGCCCAGAGGCUCUGUAUUAAGUCACGGUUGUGCUCUGCUGUCGUCGUGAUGGAUUUCAUUUGGAAAAAACAAAAAACAAACAACCACAUGCGGAAAAAUACCCUUCAUGCUACACUGGAAAAGAAUAAAUAUAUAAUACCGUUUCUCCAAAGAUAUUUGUAUCCCUAUUUAGAAACUUCUUAACCAAAUGAGAGUUUGCAGUUAGGCAGCACAUCUGAAAAUCUCCAGCACAGCUGCCCCUUAGAGUGAGAAGAAGAACUUCGCUGCACUGAGUACUUUGCUUGUACAGAGAGCAGCUGCAUCGCUCCAGUAGUGCACUGAGGCUGCCUUUCUGACUUCGGUUUGGUCUGGGGGUUGUCCUGUCAUGAAAGCUGGAAGUAGACGUUGCUUGUGCCAUCAACGAAUCGCCUGUGACAAUGGGCCUCAUCUUUAACAGAGUGGACCUGGUGGAGAGGAUGUGUUGGGCUUGUUUCUUCAGUCUUCUCUCCGCUCUGCGGAGUUUCUGAGGCUGAAGAGCAAGUUGACAAAAAAAAUGUACGUUGAAAGUUAUGAUACUUCAAAGGACAUAUAAUCUGCUGUGCUUUUCAAAACCCCAAAAUAGUUAUCAAUAUUGUUGUCUGUCUUGGAACUGCAGAUUUUCCACAAAAGAAAAUUCGGUUGUGUCAAGUCAGCAGUAGCAGCUGCUUCUUUGGGCCCCAGCUAAGGCUGAUGCCAGGAAUGAGCAUCUCAGAUGUGAAGUGUUUGACAUUAUGCAUUGGCCAACAUAUACAAAAAGUAUACAAAGACCAGACUGCAGAAGUUCACCAAGAGCUGACAUUUGUUAUUCAAUGCUAUCAAAAGGUAGAAGCCACUAUUCAUGGGCACUCACAAGAGUGUGAUCGCAUGCUUGAACAAAACAUUUACUAAAGAAAUGCUUGUAAUGCUGUCAGUACACAACUUUCUGUUGUGGUUGCUUCAAGAGCCUCUUCCUGCCAUCAUGCUGGGCAGUUGUUCAGCUCAGAGCCUGUGAAAGCAAGAAUACAAUAAACAAAGGCCAUACUGAACUUUAUACAGAUGCCACCUUGAGGAAGGCCAGGCUGUUGCCGGAGAUUUUGCUGUGCCCACAUAUGUAAAUAAACAAUUAAAAAAAGAAAUCUGUGUGAAGGCAUGCGUUCAGCAAGGUGUGGAGUUACCAGACGCAUAGGUGCGUGCGUGUGCAUACAUACGAGUCUUUCCUUCAAGGAGACAUUGAAGAGGCACACUUAGGCUGGUCUCAAAGGACAAGAAAUAUUUAUUUGACAGCAAAAAGACAAGCCCCAAGUGUGAAACCAGCCUCAAGACUUCUCUUAUUCCUAAAUUAGAAAGUGGCAGAGAUCUUACAAACCAUUUGUUCAUCUUUCACAGUGCUCUGACAUCCACGG